rnacentral:lncRNA from 1 species
AUGUUUAGCUGCAGCUGUGGACUGCCACUGUUUGGUGGUACACCUCCAGCUGCAUUGUGCCUCCAAGCCACUGGUAUCACCUGGGGGCCUGCCCAGUGGCUAUCCCUAGGGCUACACUCCCUGUCUAUAUGCGGAUGUUUUUUCAGAUUCUUUGAGAAUGAAGUUCAGAGCUUGCUCACUAUGUUUUUCUGGGACUGGUCCACUAAACAUCCUCUGUUGGAGGUAAGCCAAGCUUUUAUAGCCAACAUAGUUUUAUGGGAAGGAAGUGGUAAUUCAGCUGUAGUUUUGAUUUCACAAACACUUCAAGAGAGCUUUCAAAUAGGUAAGAGUCGAUUGGUCUGGUCUCCUGUAUUUUGUUCUGACCAUUUUAGUUCAACUUUCUAAUUAUUACAUACAUAUCUAACUUGUAUUUAAGAAGGAAGAUGUCUGUAGCAACUAUUUGAUGUGUAGGUGGUCAUAAGCCUCCUUAAGCCUUCCUUUCCUAAAAGCAGGAAGACACUAUUUGCCAAAUGUAAACAAAAAUGAGCACCAAAGCCUAGAGGGUUGCUUUUGUAAGGAGGAACCCACAACUUCAAAUGUAGCAAAUUUAGCAUCACACAGCUAGGAUGAAAAGAAUAUGAUACAUACUUUUUAUAUUAAUUGAAGAGAUAUUUAUCAACUCACUCUAAUGCUCAGUAUCUGUUUCUUAUUUUCUGGUUUAUCUUUUGGUAAGAAUCUACAAAACACUUUGAACUAUGAAGUGUGCAGCACUUCUUCCCUAAUAUGAACAGCUUAUUAAAAAUGUUUCAGAAAUUUAACACUGUAUACAAUGCACUAUGCAUAUCUACGGCCUUCAUUCUUAACCUAAAAAAUAUAGUCCAUGAUUAACCAAAAGGGACAGAAAGGAACUACUUCAGUCUGUUAAAAAUAGAGAAUUAUUUUAAUCUAAAGUGGAAAAGAAAAAAUACUUGAAUUUUAAUAUAUAUGUGUAUAAAUAUAUUUGCAUCAGAUGAAGGAAGUUGAUAUGUUAAAAUCAGUUUAGUGGUUUUACUAGAAGAGUGAGACAGGACUUCCAACAGUAGAACAGCAAAGAUGCUAACAGCGAAAGAAGUUUAUACUUCAAUCAACGAAAGCACUUUUUCUUCCUCAUAUUAAAGACAUUGACUUCACCAAUGGUUGGUCUCAAUUUGAGGCUCAAAGAGAGAAUUAUGGUCCUGAUUAGGACUGAUAGAUUAUCUCCUUGAAAUUGGCUGAAGUCAAGUUUUUCCUAGAGGGUACAACUUUAAGGAUGGUGUAACUAUGUUGUCACUGGGAGCUAAGGCAAAGCUAGAAGCUGAGCCUUAGAGACAGGGAAUCUAGAGUGAUGUCUUAGCUUCUCCUUUUGAGUGCAUCUUUCCAGACUGGUAUUUCUAUUCCUUCAAAUAAUCUCUUCCCACAUUUACAGAAGACAGAAAAGUUGACCAGAACACAGGCAACUAGGCUAUGUUUUGUGAUAUAUUAAUCUUAGAGAACAAAGGUUUACCAAUGAAUGAAAAUAUACUUAAGAACUCUCUUAAUAAAAUGGAGGCAAAGAGUUGUAUAGUAGGAAUCAAGAGAUCAGAUCUGUCAGUAACUUCUCCCUUGCUUUUUGAUACACUUCUCUUUUGUAAUAAAAUAUCCGCAUUAUGUGCUAUUCCUGAGAACCAGGUUAGUAGAAGUUUUAGUGAUAGAGAUCAGAAUAUAGGUUUUUCCAAAUGCAAAACAGAUCCUGUGCCUGUGAAUUAGGAAGGAUGUGAGAUAUUUCCCACAGCCUUUGUGUUUAUUUUGAGAGGCACAAAUCCUAGCUAUUUACUCCUGAAUAAGCCAUCAAAAGCAGAUAUUUUGAAUUAAAGCAGGGUGCCUAUCAACCCUAGGAAAAAUUAGAUUAGAUUCUAGACAAAAUACGUUUUUACAAAACUCAUGCUUUCUCCAUUUGCUGUCUUUCUCCUGCUAGGUAAUCAUCAACUAACUAUCCUCUCCUUCAACUACUUUUCACCAAAGGGUCAACUAUCCUUAUUUAAGUGUUAACUGUGGAGGGGUUUUACCCUGCACAAGGGCCUUUUAAUAAGGAUUCCUGAAAGUCAAGAAGUACUGGCUUUUCAAUUAAAGGAAUGAAUCCAGAAUGCUGGCAACUCCGUGCUUUCAAAGAGAAAGCAUGGUAUUUCUGAGGACACUGGUAUUCUGCAAAUACAUGCAGCCACAUAUUCCAUCCUGGCUAUUCUUGUCCUAAAUGUGCUGUGAUGUCUCUUCCUCCUUUGCUUGCAGCCUGAAGCACUGUCAGGAUUACAGGGCCUGGGUGUGUAGAGUUUAUAUUAAACUAGAAAAAGGGGGAUCCCUGGGUGGCACAGCGGUUUGGCGCCUGCCUUUGGCCCAGGGCGCGAUCCUGGAGACCCGGGAUCGAGUCCCACGUCGGGCUCCCGGUGCAUGGAGCCUGCUUCUCCCUCUGCCUGUGUCUCUGCCUCUCUCUCUCUCACUGUGUGCCUAUCAUAAAUAAAUAAAAAAUUAAAAAAAAAAUUUAAACUAGAAAAAGGAAUGUUCUUCUCUAGAGGAAUGACCCUGAGGGAUGCCUUAAGAGAAUUAUUACAUAUUUUCUGCCUCUCAGUCUUCUUCCAACGUGUAUGAAAAAUUGGGAAUUAAGGAGCAUUCUCUUUCUCCCCUGAGGGUGAGCAAGAAUCCACAGGUUUCAUUAAUGGAUAAAUCCUCUAUAAGUCUAAUCUUGGCCACUCUCUACACACUGUUUUCAAACUGUUCUAUAGGUAUCCUAUUAUUUUAGAGAACUUUAUCUAGACUGUACUUGCAGAUUUGAUACUAUCUGCUUAUGUUUCCAUUUUAUUCGAUUGCUAUUCUUAGUGGAAGGAGUUAAUGACAUAAUUCAGGAGAAAGAAAGCCUUGUGGAAUUUGACAGUAGCAAGAAGCAGUGGUGCGCUAAUUUGGUCAUUGUACAUAUCCCAGCUUGGUAUCUCAAUUUUAACAGUAGCUCAAGUGCUAAAUCAUGCAUACAGAUGUUGAAGAUAUGACCUCAGGGGCUCCUUCAGGCUGUGAAGACUAUUAUACCUAGUGUACUUUGUUACUGAGACAUUCCUCCCUCCAGUGAGCAGCUAAUUUAUACAGAACACAUGAUCUUCUGCUUAUUGGCUAAGAGUGGCAAAAUACAAUUUCUAAGGUAUGCUCAACUUGCAGUGCUAGUCUCUAGAUAUAACUUAUUUCAGAAGUCAUAAAUGGUAAUUUUGGAGGGCUAGAACACAGAAAACUACGUAUGUAUAAUACUAUAGUCUUAUAUAUUAACAGAUAUAGUAUAUAUAGAUAGUCUGAAUAGUUGAUUGUUACACAUUUAAAAUAUGGAAGAAUAAAAGAUCAUUUUAAACAUUUGGGCUUAUUUUAAAAAUAUGAAGAUGAAUCAAUUAUUUGUUUUGGUAUGGGAUACAAUAUUGCAUACAUUUGAAGAACAAACCCAUAUUUUGCUGGGCUAGAAACUCUGCCCUGAGGUUUAUUUAUUUUUUAAAUAUUUUAUUUAUUUUUUCAUGAGAGACACAGAGAGAGAGGGAGAGACAUAGGCAGAGGGAGAAGCAGGCUCCCCAUGGGGCUCCUGAUGCAGGACUGGAUCUAAAGACCCUGGGAUCAUGACCUGAGCCAAAGGCAGAUGCUCAACCAUUGAGCCACCCAGGUGCCCUGCCCUAAUGUUUAAAGUGUUUUUUAUUUUUACUCCACCACUCUAUAGUGUUUUUAAUAUAAAAAGAUUAAACUACUUAGAUAGAUUUAAGGUAUAUUUUUUAACACUAAAUUAACUUAAAAACCAAAUCAUCACAUAAGAUUUAGUAUGUGACAUUAGUAUCAUUCUUGCCCUUUUUUUAAAAGUAAGAACAGAGGUCCUAUCAGUUUCAUAAUUAACUUAAAUAUUUAGUUUACCUUAUUCAAAUUAGUUAAAAUAAGAAAAGGUAUGCAUUCCUACUAAUAUGGAAAUAUAUCAGAGAGCUCCAUCCUUCCAUCUUGUGUCAGUUUAUGGAAGAAAGUUCCCCUUAGUUUUCAUAGAUCUGAUCGUUUGUAUUAGAUGACUGUGGGAUGGGGCAAAGGGUGUGGGAGAGCAACUGUUCCCCACUCCUUGCAUAAAAUAAAAUCUGUACAUUGUCAAUAGGCUGAAAAUAACCACACAACAGUGAUUAUGAUAGAUGGCUUUAUCUGACCAAUCUUAUCUUUUCCAAGCUUAAGAAAGCUUUUAAAAAUGAAAAUCCUUAUUAAGCUUGCUCAUUGCCAUAAAUUAAGGUAGAGGCCUCCAAACCAGUAACCAAUAAGCAGGGUCUCUAAAAUGGAUAACUCCUAACUUUGUUUUCAGUUCAACUGCAUCAACUGGGAAGCCUGUGGAUUAAAACUAACAAAUACUCAUUAUGGAACAGUUCAAGAUAAUGUUACUUUUUUUUCAAAGACAUAUGGAUAUAAUGAGUGUCUCUGUCUCUGUCUCUCUUUUUCUUUGUCUCUCUGACUGUUUGUCUCUGUCUCUUUGUGUCCCUCAUUGGUUUUGCUAGAAUUAGAUGAUACAGUGAAAUGGGCUCC